CUCAGGCAUGGAAGCCAGCAUUGAUCCUCCAAACCAAACUGCUUAUUGCUGCAUAUGAUCUCUUUGCAAGUGACAUCCAAAGUCCCUGAACAUGGUUGAACCUCCAGAGAGGACAAAAUUCUUGUAGAGAGGACAUCUGACAUCAAUAGGACAAUUCUGAAUUACUUCAUCUACAGCUUCUGAAAUAGUUGCUGAAUAAAAUAUGUUAUAUCUCAUCCUUCAAUUGGAAUGUGUUUAAUACAGCUGCCAAUCAUAUAUCCUUCAGCCACAGGAAUGACAUAAGUAACACCAUCUCCACUGUCUAUUACCGUACAGUCAAUGUCGAUUCUCCUACUUGUCUUGAGGUCC
rnacentral:lncRNA from 1 species